rnacentral:sRNA from 1 species
CGGUCCAGAUUCUUCAGGAUUCUCCGUGAAGGGAUAACCGGGGGAAGCACCAAGAUGACCGAUGCCCAGAUGGCUGACUUUGGGGCAGCGGCCCAGUACCUCCGCAAGUCAGAGAAGGAGCGUCUAGAGGCCCAGACCCGGCCCUUUGACAUUCGCACUGAGUGCUUCGUGCCCGAUGACAAGGAAGAGUUUGUCAAAGCCAAGAUUUUGUCCCGGGAGGGAGGCAAGGUCAUUGCUGAAACCGAGAAUGGGAAGACAGUGACUGUGAAGGAGGACCAGGUGUUGCAGCAGAACCCACCCAAGUUCGACAAGAUUGAGGACAUGGCCAUGCUGACCUUCCUGCAUGAGCCCGCGGUGCUUUUCAACCUCAAGGAGCGCUACGCAGCCUGGAUGAUAUAUACCUACUCGGGCCUCUUCUGUGUCACCGUCAACCCCUACAAGUGGCUGCCGGUGUACAAUGCCGAGGUGGUGGCCGCCUACCGGGGCAAGAAGAGGAGUGAGGCCCCGCCCCACAUCUUCUCCAUUUCCGACAACGCCUAUCAGUACAUGCUGACAGAUCGGGAGAAUCAGUCCAUCCUCAUCACGGGAGAAUCCGGGGCGGGGAAGACUGUGAACACCAAGCGUGUCAUCCAGUACUUUGCCAGCAUUGCAGCCAUAGGUGACCGUGGCAAGAAGGACAAUGCCAAUGCGAACAAGGGCACCCUGGAGGACCAGAUCAUCCAGGCCAACCCCGCUCUGGAGGCCUUCGGCAACGCCAAGACUGUCCGGAACGACAACUCCUCCCGCUUUGGGAAAUUCAUUAGGAUCCACUUUGGGGCCACUGGAAAGCUGGCUUCUGCAGACAUAGAGACCUACCUGCUGGAGAAGUCUCGAGUGAUCUUCCAGCUGAAAGCUGAGAGAAACUACCACAUCUUCUACCAGAUUCUGUCCAACAAGAAGCCGGAGUUGCUGGACAUGCUGCUGGUCACCAACAAUCCCUACGACUACGCCUUCGUGUCUCAGGGAGAGGUGUCCGUGGCCUCCAUUGAUGACUCCGAGGAGCUCAUGGCCACCGAUAGUGCCUUUGACGUGCUGGGCUUCACUUCAGAGGAGAAAGCUGGCGUCUACAAGCUGACGGGAGCCAUCAUGCACUACGGGAACAUGAAGUUCAAGCAGAAGCAGCGGGAGGAGCAGGCGGAGCCAGACGGCACUGAAGAUGCCGACAAGUCGGCCUACCUCAUGGGGCUGAACUCAGCUGACCUGCUCAAGGGGCUGUGCCACCCUCGGGUGAAAGUGGGCAACGAGUAUGUCACCAAGGGGCAGAGCGUGCAGCAGGUGUACUACUCCAUCGGGGCUCUGGCCAAGGCAGUGUAUGAGAAGAUGUUCAACUGGAUGGUGACGCGCAUCAACGCCACCCUGGAGACCAAGCAGCCACGCCAGUACUUCAUAGGAGUCCUGGACAUCGCUGGCUUCGAGAUCUUCGACUUCAACAGCUUUGAGCAGCUCUGCAUCAACUUCACCAAUGAGAAGCUGCAGCAGUUCUUCAACCACCACAUGUUCGUGCUGGAGCAGGAGGAGUACAAGAAGGAGGGCAUCGAGUGGACAUUCAUUGACUUUGGCAUGGACCUGCAGGCCUGCAUUGACCUCAUCGAGAAGGUGCCUCCUUGGCCUCACCACCUAUGCCCCCUCCUCUGCCAUCCAGACAAAGUGGUGGCUGAGUCCCUUCUACACCCAAGAAACUAGAGUCCCAAGAAUCCCAGGCCUUUCUCCAGGCCCAGCUUCUCCCCACUGUGAAGUCAUGGGCAUGAACAGGAUGAUCCCCCCACUCUUUCUUUCCCAGGACCUUGCACUUUAUGCCCCUUUGUGGUGGUCCCCUCAGUGUCUUAAGAGUGAGAUGUAGUGAAGGAGAGGCCCCUGGCCCCUCUGACCACCCAUGAGAAGCGUCAUUCAUGGAAAGAUCCUAGGCUGAAAUUAGAGAUGUUUGGCCUCCCACCACCUUCCUGUUGGUUGAGAAAUAAGCCAGUCUCCAGCCCUCUUGCUUAUGGACAUUCCUCAGAAGAGACAAGGCCGCAGGCAGGAGGCCCCAUAGGCUGGGGCUGACUUGCUCUCAGUGAACCUCUGCUCUUUGUCAGCAUAGGCCAGAGCCCGGAUUGUCUGACCCACACCCAGCCCAGCCACGGCCUUCAUAAAAUGGGAGCUU